UGCAAAUGUUUAUUUCUGGCAACACUAUCCUGAUGCUGUCAGAGUAUGUGGUAAAGCUCCAGCAUCAGUGAUUUUGUUGUUAGUGGUAAAUUCAA
ensembl:miRNA